GCAGUCGAACGACAAGCCGGUGCUUGCACCGGUGGAGGAGUGGCGAACGGCUGAGUAACACGUAGGAACCUACCCUAUGGUCUGGGAUAACGGACCGAAAGGACCGCCUAAUACCGGAUAUAUCCCUCGGGAGGAAAGCUCCGGCGCCAGAGGAGGGGCCUGCGGCGUAUUANCUUGAUGGUGAGGUAACGGCUCACCAUGGCUAUGAUGCGUAGCUGGUCUGAGAGGACGAUCAGCCAGACUGGGACUGAGACACGGCCCAGACUCCUACGGGAGGCAGCAGUUCAGAAUCUUGCACAAUGGGCGAAAGCCUGAUGCAGCGAUGCCGCGUGUGCGAAGAAGGCCUUCGGGUCGUAAAGCACUGUCAGAGGGGAAGAUUAUGACGGUACCCUCAAAGGAAGCCACGGCUAAUUACGUGCCAGCAGCCGCGGUAAUACGUAAGUGGCGAGCGUUAUCCGGAAUUACUGGGCGUAAAGCGUUCGUAGGCGGCGUAACAAGUUGGAUUUGAAAUCCCGGGGCUCAACUCCGGAACCGGAUCCAAAACUGCUAUGCUUGAGCAGAUCAGAGGGCAGUGGAAUUCCCGGUGUAGCGGUAAUAUGCGUAGAGAUCGGGAGGAACACCAGUGGCGAAGGCGGCUGCCUGGGGUCUUGCUGACGCUGAGGAACGAAAGCUAGGGGAG
rnacentral:rRNA from 1 species